UGACCUCCCGUGUGACCUUGUGAGCAGAUGGACCUGGACUGUCUUUUGAGUUUAGGCCCAGUGAGCCACUCGGGAGCCAUCUCGAAGGACUGCCUCUUUUGGCUUCACAUUUUGCUUUCUUUCUUUAAGAGUUUUUAGAUUUUUUUUGUUGUUGGCAAAUUUUCUUUUUGUUUGCUUAUUCAAAAGCUCUUUCCAGUUUUGUGGCCUUGAGUGUUGAACCCUGUUCUGUGCUGAUUGUUUGAAAAUGCUUUUUCAAGAAAGAUCACGGUUCCAAGGUCUGCGGGUGCCACGGUUUUGAAUUUACUGAAAUCACGGAUUGGAGACUUGGAAGAGCCCCCAGGUGCAUGCGGCAGACCACUUCACUGCAGAGGAGGGAUGUGUGCAGAGUCAUCUGCUUGGGUUUUUGUUUGUCUACAUGAGAGUGUCGUUUCAGUGAGAACUGCAGAGCUGUGGAGAACGUUCAAUCCCAUUGUGCAGCUGCACCUGGAACCUGGAAACUCAGAGAAGUUAAACGGUUUGUAAAUGACAUCCACAUGGAGCUGCUACUGGACUCAGAUACAGGUUUAACUUUGGCAUUAGCUGAGUGACUGCCGUGCUUGGCUAAGAUGUGUUCAUUCCCACUAAAUCUCUUGCUGCAAUGGGACCCCAGUGUCAGGGGAUGGGCCUGGUGGGAGGUGUUUGGGUUAUGGGGGUGGAUCCCUCGUGAACGGCUUCGUGUCGUUGAUCUACCAGGAGAGUGAGUUCUUGCUCUCUCAGUGCUGGGUUGGUUCUCAGGAGGAGGGAUUAGUUCCCAGGAGUGGGUUGUGGUAAAGCCCAGACACCCCUCGGAUUUGGUCCUUCUCGGCACCUUCCCACUGCCCAUUCGACCUUCUCAACCAUGUUUUGAUGCAGCAUGAAAGCUCUCGCCAGAAGCCAAGCAGGUGCCAGUGUCAGGCUUCCUGUACAGCCUGCAGAACCACGGGCUGAAUAAACUCCUUUUUUUAUGAA